UGAGGAAUAUUGCACAAUGGGCGAAAGCCUGAUGCAGCAACGCCGCGUGCGGGACGAAGGCCUUCGGGUCGUAAACCGCUUUUCUGGGGAAAGAGCAAGGACGGUACCUCAGGAAUAAGUCUCGGCUAACUACGUGCCAGCAGCUGCGGUAAAACGUAGGAGGCGAGCGUUAUCCGGAUUUACUGGGCGUAAAGCGCACGCAGGCGGCUCUGUGAGUCGGACGUGAAAGCUCUCGGCUUAACCGGGAGAGGCCGUUCGAUACUGCGGGGCUUGAGGUAGGGAGAGGAAUGCGGAAUUCCCGGUGUAGUGGUGGAAUGCGUAGAUAUCGGGAGGAACACCUGUGGCGAAAGCGGCAUUCUGGCCCUCACCUGACGCUGAGGUGCGAAAGCGUGGGUAGCAAACAG
rnacentral:rRNA from 1 species